rnacentral:rRNA from 1 species
UACGUAGGGGGCAAGCGUUGUCCAGAAUCAUUGGGCGUAAAGCGCGUGUAGGCGGCCAGAAAAGUCCGCUGUGAAAACUCGAGGCUCAACUUCGAGCUGUCGGUGGAAACUUUCUGGCUAGAGUCCGGAAGAGGAGAAUGGAAUUCCUGGUGUAGCGGUGAAAUGCGCAGAUAUCAGGAAGAACACCCGUGGCGAAGGCGGUUCUCUGGGACGGUACUGACGCUGAGACGCGAAAGCGUGGGGAGCGAACAGG